GCUGGUGUGGCGAAAUGGCAGACGCAGCGGACUUAAAAUCCGCAGGGGCGAAAGUCCCGUGAGGGUUCGAGUCCCUUCUCCAGCA
rnacentral:tRNA from 2 species